rnacentral:misc_RNA from 1 species
GAUGAAGAACGUAGCGAAAUGCGAUAAGUAAUGUGAAUUGCAGAAUUCAGUGAAUCAUCGAAUCUUUGAACGCACAUUGCGCCCGUCAGUAUUCUGGCGGGCAUGCCUGUUCGAGCGUCAUUACGCCCCUCAAGUCCCCUGUGGACUUGGUGUUGGGGAUCGGCGAGGCUGGUUUUCCAGCACAGCCGUCCCUUAAAUUAAUUGGCGGUCUCGCCGUGGCCCUCCUCUGCGCAGUAGUAAAACACUCGCAACAGGAGCCCGGCGCGGUCCACUGCCGUAAAACCCCCCAACUUUUUAUAGUUGACCUCGAAUCAGGUAGGACUACCCGCUGAACUUAAGCAUAUCAAUAAGCGGAGAA